AGUAGUGGCGAGCGAACGGGGAUUAGCCCAAACCAAUGUUGUUACGGCAAUAUUGGGGUUGUAGGACCACGAUGUCGCAAGAACUUUAGUGAGAAGAAUUCUUUGGAAAAUGAAACCAUAGACGGUGAUAGUCCGGUAUUCGAAGCUAAACGAAGCGUAGUGGUAUCCUGAGUAGCGCGGGACACGAGGAAUCUUGCGUGAAUCUGCCGGGACCAUCCGGUAAGGCUAAAUACUCCCGAGAGACCGAUAGCGAACCAGUACUGUGAAGGAAAGGUGAAAAGCACUUCGAAUAGAAGAGUGAAAUAGUCCCUGAAACCGUGCGCCUACAAGCGGUCGGAGCAGCGUAAGUUGUGACGGCGUGCCUUUUGCAUAAUGAACCUACGAGUUACUUUUUCCGGCAAGGUUAAGCAUUUCAAAAUGUGUAGCCGAAGCGAAAGCGAGUCUGAACAGGGCGAUUAGUCGGAAGGAGUAGACGCGAAACCAAGUGAUCUACCCUUGGUCAGGUUGAAGGUUAGGUAACACUAACUGGAGGACCGAACCGAUAAGCGUUGAAAAGCUUCCGGAUGAACUGAGGGUGGGGGUGAAAGGCUAAUCAAACUUGGAGAUAGCUCGUACUCCCCGAAAUGCAUUUAGGUGCAGCCUUGGGAAUUACUACUGUGAGGUAGAGCGACUGAUAAGAUGCGAGGGCUUCACCGCCUAUCAAGUCUUGAUAAACUCCGAAUGCGCAGUAGUUCGAUCCCAGGAGUGAGGGCAUGGGUGCUAAGGUCCAUGUCCUAAAGGAGAAGAAUCCGGACCAUCAGCUAAGGUCCCGAAAUAAUUGCUAAGUUGAACUAACGAAGUCAGAUUGCUAAGACAGCUAGGAUGUUGGCUUGGAAGCAGCCAUUCAUUUAAAGAGUGCGUAACAGCUCACUAGUCGAGGAGUUUGGCGUGGAUAAUAAUCGGGCAUCAAGCAAUUUACCGAAGCUAUGGGAUGUGUAAACAUCGGUAGGGGAGCAUUCCACUCUGCGUCGAAGGUGAAGCGUGAGCUUUGCUGGAGCGUGUGGAAAAGCAAAUGUAGGUAUAAGUAACGAUAAAGGGGGUGAGAAACCCCCUCGCCGAAAGACUAAGGUUUCCUGAUCAACGCUAAUCGGAUCAGGGUUAGUCGGGUCCUAAGGCUCAGCCGAACGGUGAGGCCGAUGGCAGAACAGGUUAAUAUUCCUGUACUACCUUAAGGAGUGACGUGGAGACGGAGCAGUGAUAGCGCCGCGGACUGACGGAAUAGUCCGUUGAAGGGUGUAGAUGUUGAUCUUUGCAGGCAAAUCCACAAAGAGAGUCGAACCUGAUAGUAU
rnacentral:rRNA from 1 species